AUUUGUACGUUGACUUAAAUCAAAUUACUUUAAAAACUUUUUCUCAAAUUUUUGGAUUUUGACCCAAAUUAUUUGUUUGAACUAUUUCUGCUGAAAUAUUUGGCUUCUUAUAUACAUGCUUUUUUCUACCUCUCGUUGCGAUUUUGAUCAACAAUUUGGAGAAUUUAAAAAAUUUGUUGAAUCAGAUAAAUUUUCAAAGCAAUAAUCAAAGUUAUUGGCUUUGUUAAAAAUAAUAUCCUUCUGUCAUAGGAUAUUAAGCGAUUUUAGUGAAACUGUUCGACAACCCAGCACACAUUUUUACUUCGUUGAAAAAUUUUUGGAUUCUUUGAAAUUUUUUGGAAUUUUCAACUUCCCUUCGAUUAUCAACCUAUACUCUUGUGUUUUUGAAAAAAAAAAUUGUUUUUUGCAGCAAUAUAUCUCUGGUUAUUUCUGCUUUUGCAACACUCAUUUACACUCUUAAAAAAAAAACAAACAUUUGAAUUAUUUCUCGAUUUGCAAAAAUAACAUCCUCCUGUAAGUGGACUUUAAGAGUUUUUAUUUAAUUGUUUGCUCGUUUUAGCUAAAAGUUGGCCCCUUCUGGCAACCCAACAAACAAUUUUUAAUCAAAUUAGCCCGGCUUUAAAUAUAAAGUAAAUUUUUGAACUUUUGAAACUUUUGGAAAGGAACGAAUUAUAAUUUGACUCAAACCAAUAAGAUAAGAUCGUUCUCGUCGACAACAAUUGGAGUAAGAAACACAUCCUCAUUUCAAAAAUAAAAUUUGGAUAGAAACUAAAAUCUUGAACCAAGUUAGUCCCUUUGAUUGGGCAUCUUUUCCUUUUUUUAACAACAAAAUUUCGUAAAGGUUAACGAUUAGCAUUCUAAAUUGAUAAAACUUUGAGCGAUAAAUUCACAAAUUGUGUCAACGAUCUAAAGAAUGCAAAUAAUGACGAAACUAAGACACUUUUAAUCUACCUGGAGUUUCUACGGAAUCAAUUCACAAAAACUACAAGACACUCUUAAUAGCAGCAUUCAGACACUGGGGAUGCUUGAUGUCGAUGUUAAAGGAUAGGAUCCGAUUUUAAUAUACAUUUGUUCAACAAAAUUAACUAGAGGCUUUUUAGAAGAAUUCGAGAACUCAUUAAGCGAUUGUAAAAAAAUUCCAAAUGGGAACAGUUUGACGCUUUCUUAACAAACUAAUUCAAAGCCUUGGAAUCAGUUGGUAAUAUAAAGCCCUCUACAGCAAAAUUUGUUUAACAAAAACCAAUUACCAAUUAUAUGCCUAGAUUUUUGAAAAUAUUUCAAACAAAUGUCUAAACAAAUACAAACAAUUUGGGAGGAAGACCUACAAAUGUAAUAUUACCUCAACAAAAUAAACCGAAAAAUACUCAAACAUGUCAAGCUGCAAAUCAAAUCAUUUCAUCAGAGAUUGCAGCAAAUUUUUGAAAAAGAAUGUGAAUGGCAGAAUUCACAUCGUGAAAAUAUCACACUAAUGCUACAAUUGCAUGUCAUCAAAUCACGCAGGAUAGGAUUGUAAAAGUCGCUUUGGCUGCAGUAUUUGUACUAUGAGACACAAUACUUUGUUACACUAUGGAACGAAAAACCAAACAACAAAUACAUACCAAGCUCAAGUAGAAGCACGACCUAGUACUAGUGCUGCCGCUCUUACAAAUCAAAUACUCUACUACAAACCUAGAACCAACUACUAUUACUACUUUGACCCUCCAAGAUAAGCAAAUUAGUGAGCGACGAUCUGGAGGAACGCUACUCUUCACAGCAAUAGUACAAAGUUAAGUACACGUAACAACUUAGUUCAUGUCACUGGCGUAAGUCAAUGUGUUUCUGAGACUUCAACGAAAUCUUGCUUGUUUACUAUGAGAUCCUAAUACGACCCUAGCCUUAAACUGAAAGUCUGGGCUUCAGUUUUAAAGAACUUCUUCAAAUUUACCACUACAAAACUUAGAUGAAUCACAACUUCGAGAUGUAACAGCAUUAGAACAGUCAACCAACCGAUCUACUUAUUAGAAUGGACAUUGAACCAUUAAUAUUCACAAUUGGAACUCCGAUGCAAACAUUUGGAUCAAUUUUAACACAAAAACAAAGUUUGGAUGGAUAGUUGAAGGACCCAUACCCGGAAGCACCCUUCAAACAUACAAAAUAAACAGAGAAAGUACUUACACGUUUUUGGGAGAUGGGAGAGACCCCUAAAAAAGUUUUACGGUCAGAAGAAGACCAAUUUUGUGAUCAAUACUACACUGAAAUAACAAUCCGGACCAAGGAUGGAAUAUGUGGUGACUCUCCUAUUCAAAAUAUGCGAAGAAUUCCCGAAAAAUCACCUAAGCUCAAUUCUACAGAAUGGAGAAAAAACUUAUGAAAACACCAGAAAUAAAAGAACAAUAUGAUGCCUCAAUACUCGAAUACCUAGAAAUUGGUCAUAUGAGGAAAAUCAUUCCGAAUGAAAUAGAUAGAAUGCCAAAUUAUUUACCCUUAUUAUGCUUGGCGUUGUCGUAACUAAUUUUUUUUGGUAUUAUGUACAAUUUUCGAAUACGCCUUUUUUGUAAUAGAUGUGAAAAAACAGGGUGCUCUGGAAUAACAAACAUUUGUAGAAUUUAAGAGCUACCCGGUUAAAAUAAAUAAAAGCGGCAGUAAAAAUAGUUGAAGUAAAACGAUUAUUUGUUAAAUUAAAUAUUGAAAUAUGUUAAGUGUUGGCAAUUUUUUAUGAAUAUAUUCAAAACGAUUUAAACGUGAAACGAAAAAUAUUGCGGCAAGAGUCUAACAUAUUUUCCAUGACUGAUUCCCAGUAAGUGAAAAGUAAAAUGGGAAAGAAGCUAAAAUAAACAGUUUUUUCUUUAGAUACGUUAGUUACUUCAGGCUUAGUAAGGAUGCAUUCAAAUAUGUUUUGGCUCAACUCAUUCCAGAUUUUUGUAGCCGGGUUAAAUCUACAAGUAUCCCAAAUACACAAAAACUAGCGGCAACGAUUCGAAUACUCGCUGAAGGAAGUUAUCAAAAGGGCGCUGGUAACGAUUUCCAUGUCAGUUUAUCACAGCCGUCUGUCAGCAAUGUGUUCCACGAGUGAAUAGAAGUAUUGCAUAAUAAGCUGUGUCCAGAUUGGAUCUCUUUUCCCACUGCAGAAGAAGAGAAAUAUGAAAUAAAGGAAAAUUUUUUGAACAAUACUGGAUUUCCUGGUGUGAUUGGGUGUAUAGAUGGGACGCACAAAAAAAUUGUUGCGCCAAAAAUGGAAGACAGAUUGUCUACAGUCUUAAUGUAACGGUGGUGUGUGAUCACAAAUUAAGAAUUAGAGAUAUAUCGUCACACCAGAAUGGAUCCGUUCACGAUUCGUUGGUUCGGAAUACAAGUGAUUUGAAACAACACUUGAAAGAAAAAUUUGAAAAUGGCGAAAGAAAUACAUGGAUAUUAGGUGACGCAGGAUAUCCAUUGGAAAAAUUUUUAAUUACGCCAUUUAGACCUGCUGACGAAGGCUCACCAGAGUGUAGAUUCAACAAAAUACAUUAAAAAACAGGAAAUAUAGUUGAACGAGCAAUUGGUGUGUUGAAAAACAGAUUUCGAUGUAUAUUAGGAGCGAGACAAUCGCAUUACACCCCUGAUAUGUGUGGGAAAGUAACAGCAGUUUGUGCAGCAUUACACAACAUUUGCAUACAUUUCAAAAUUGAAAUGCCGAUAGUUAACACAAACCUCUACGUCAUGUCAGAUCCCAAUGAUGUUGAAAUGAACG